AUUGAACGCUGGCGGCAGGCCUAACACAUGCAAGUCGAACGAGUGGCGGACGGGUGAGUAAUGUCUGGAAAACUGCCUGAUGGAGGGAGAUAACUACUGGAAAACGUAGCUAAUAACGCAUACCCUACGAUGUGCCCAGGUUGGAUUAGCUUGUUGGUGGGGUAAUGGCUCACCAAGGCGACGAGCCCUCGCUGGUCUGAGAGGAUGACCAGCCACACUGGAACUGAGAAACGGUCCAGACUCCUACGGGAGGCAGCAGUGGGGAAUAUUGCACAAUGGGCGCAAGCCUGAUGCAGCCAUGCCGCGUGUAUGAAGAAGGCCUUCGGGUUGUAAAGUACUUUCAGCGGGGAGGCGUUACCCGCAGAAGAAGCACCGGCUAACUCCGUGCCAGCAGCCGCGGUAAUUC
rnacentral:rRNA from 1 species